UCUUAUGGAUGAGCAAAGAAAGUGGUUUUUUCUUGAGAUAGGAUCUACUCCUGGUGAAGAUGCCAUGAA
rnacentral:pre_miRNA from 1 species